GUGUGAUCGUUGAUCGUUCAUUCACGAAAAUUUUGUUGCUGCCUGUUGUCCAUUUGAGCCACUCAUUAUGGGUUCAAUGCUGUGUAAGAUAAUCUUUCUUCUACUUUGGGUAGGAGGCCAGUCUCAGCAAUUUAUCAAUCCGGCGUUCAUCAUUUCCCCGGAGAGUGAACGAUCCUUUGAAAAAUGGAGAAACGUAAUCAACCAGCAACUUCAGGAAACCGGGGCCACCUUUGAUUUAACGUCAACACUUCACAACAUUUUCGCCGCACUGAAAUCUUCUUCAUUCCCAACGGCGGUGGCUAAAAACAUCAGCCAACAAUGUUUACAAGACAGCCAGUUCUACGUUCAUAACCUCUACGCCAACCAGAGUCUCUGGUCCUUACAAAUGCAAGAGUCUUCAGCCAAACUUCCGCCGGGAUUGUUUGGAACCAACAAUAUUCACGCGGAUGGACUUUUCGACGAAUGUCUGGCCGUUCGGGCACCUGGAUUUGAUGGACAAUACUGCAUCGUCGCUUUUAAACCGACGGCCGUUGAUCCGUCCGAAAUUCUACCUACGGGAUCAUUCAGCGAUGAGGCUCAACGGGCCAACCUGAUCACCAUUUUUCAGCUUUUGGGAUUAUUGGGACCGGAUCGGGUCGACCCAAAAGUGUCCGUCGCAGAUGCCAACACUUACAUUUUACCCAGCACCACAUUCUGCCUGCCGUCAUCUUGCAGCGCUGCCGACCUUAGUCAAGCUGUCGCCGAGCUCAUUGGCAGUUACGUCAUCGCAAAUUAUUCUCUAGUCACCGUCACCGACGAGCAAUAUUGCUUUAAAGAAAGCAAUAAACCACCGACAUUUGAUGGCGCCACCAUCACCGUCAUUGUGGUGCUGAGUCUUGUCGGUCUUCUUGUUUUGAUGGCGACCGUUCACGAAGCCUGGCGAAUGUACCGCGGGACUGACUUCGAUGCCAAACAGGACGGAAAACUCUUGAGCGCAUUGCAUUGCUUUUCGAUCUUAAACAACGGCCGUAAAAUCCUGUCGAUGAAAGUGACAGCUUCAAGCGACAAUUUCGGCUGUAUUCACGGCAUCCGCUUCUUCUCAACUUGCUGGGUCGUCUUGGGUCACACUUUUUCGAUUGCUGCAGGCAAGAUCAUGAAUACGAAAAUGAUAACCGAGGAUUUCAGAACUUUGGGCAUGCAAACCAUUGGCAACGCCACCGUUUCGGUCGACACAUUUUUCCUGAUGAGCGGCUUACUGGUGUCGUUCCUCUUGCUCCGGGAGUUGGACCAUAACAAAGGCAAAUUCAACGUCGGCCUUUACUAUUUGCACCGAUAUCUGAGACUGACGAUCGUGUACGCCUUCAUCCUCGGUUUCAUCGCAACUCUGAUCGUUUACGUCGGUAUCGGUCCUUAUUGGUACGAUGUCAACAAGUUUUCAAACGCUUGUCGUAAUGCCUGGUGGCGACAGUUUCUCUACAUUAAUAAUUUGUUUCCGUUGGAUCCUGAGUAUGGGUGCAUGGGCCAAACGUGGUACCUGGCGGUGGACAUGCAACUCUUUUUCGUCUCUCCUCUCUUCAUUUAUCCACUGUGGCGAUGGAGGAAAUGGGGACUCGCCUGGCUGGCCGCUGUUGGACUCACUUGUCAAGCUGUCAUAUUUUACGUUUACGCUAGAGACGAUCUGCAUCCUACUGUUUGGACCACUCGCCUUGAUGGUUCGGCCACUUCUGUCGAUUAUUUCGAUCACUAUUACGUCAAACCAUGGACAAGAGCACCACCUUAUUUUGUGGGCAUCUUGGCAGGAUGGUUCUUGCACGUAACCAAACAGUCCCAGAGUCGAUUGGCCAAGCCUUUGGUGGUUUUGGGAUGGACAUUGUCCGCAGCGGUCGGAUUGGCGAUCGUCUACGGUUUAACGCCUUAUGUCGACCCGUCAAAAGUGCCAGAGAUCAGCACACUGCUCAAAAUGACUUACGGCCCUCUGCACAGAACGGCCUGGGCUUUUGUCAUAGCCUGGAUCAUCUUCGCCUGUUCUCGAGGCUAUGGAGGUUUCGUGAAUCGGCUGCUGUCAUGGAAAGGAUUCUUACCACUCGGCCGUAUGACUUAUUGCGUCUACCUGAUCCACUACGACUUCCUUGUGGUCUACUACUCUGCCAUGCGGAAACGGUUUUACUACACGCUGUUUGAGCAGUUCACAGUUUGUUUCGGCCUCCUCGUCGUGACUUUUGGAUUGGCGUUUCUGGUAUCCGUCACCCUAGAAGCAUCUUUCCUCAACUUGGAGAAACUUGUCUUCUCUUCCAAAUCCAAAAGUCAACCUCGUGAAGAAAUGACCGCUUCUCCCGCUGACGAGAAACUAAAUGCUGAGCGUAAAAAAAUCGAUGCGUGAAUAGGAUCUUUCAGAACCAAUUUCUUUGAUGGAAUAUUUCCAAUUUUCAUUCAAAAUUUCUGUCUAAAUUGAAAUAUUUGCAUUAAUAAGCUUACGUAACAUUUUAAAUUCAAAUUUGUGAACUGAAUCUUGCUAAUAUGAAAAAAAUUUUCGUUCAAUCGGGGGUCUAUGAGUCUUUGCUGACGAAUGAUCUUGUCCUAGUCGCUCCGUCUAGCUCACCUUUUUUCACUGUGGGCUGGAUUUGGAUGCUAGUUUAUUAUCGUGCUGGUUGCAGGAGGACCAACCCAACGAUUGAUGAAUCCUUGGUUGGGAAUUGCACAGGACAGUGAAAGAAAUUGGGACAAGUUGGUGAACACAUUCAAGAGCAUUUAAGAAAUUUCCGUCACACUCAAAUGUUCAUCGUUUCCCCCACCACUGUGGGCCACAAAUCUACCGACAGUCAAGUCUACGUUCGCAACCUCUACGCCAACACCGGACUCUUUGGGCCUUUCAAACGUGAUGUAUGAAGAUAUUAACAGGUUAUCCCCUCUUGGCUUCCAAUAGAGUCCCAGGGUCUUGUUGUGGCGGUUCCCCUAGCUGUCCUCGUGUUAACCCGUGUGAGUGUGGAUGUACGUAUUUCCCAGGCUUAUUAAAG